AAUCAACGCUGGCGGCGUGCCUCAGACAUGCAAGUCGAACGCUGCUGUUCGCCUUCGGGUGGACAGCGGAGUGGCGCACGGGUGAGUAACACGUAGGUAAUCUACCUUUGGGUGGGGAAUAACAGCCGGAAACGGCUGCUAAUACCGCAUAAUGCAGCGGCAUCACAUGAUGACAGUUGUUAAAGCGAGGGAUCGUAAGACCUCGUGCCUGAAGAGGAGCCUGCGGCAGAUUAGGUAGUUGGUGAGGUAAUGGCUCACCAAGCCUGCGAUCUGUAACCGGCCUGAGAGGGCGGUCGGUCACACUGACACUGAACAUACGGGUCAGACUCCUACGGGAGGCAGCAGUCGGGAAUUUUGGG
rnacentral:rRNA from 1 species